CGUACGGGUGCGUAACACGUAUGCAACCUACCUUUUACAGGAGUAUAGCUCGGUGAAAACCGAAUUAACCCUCCAUAAUAUCAUUGGAUGGCAUCAUUUGAUGAUUAAAACUACGGUGGUAAAAGAUGGGCAUGCGUUUGAUUAGUUAGUUGGCAGUGUAACGGACUACCAAGACGAUGAUCAAUAGGGGACCUGAGAGGGUGAUCCCCCACACUGGCACUGAGAUACGGGCCAG
rnacentral:rRNA from 1 species